rnacentral:rRNA from 1 species
CAGCCGCCGCGGGAAUACAGAGGAUGCAAGCGUUAUCCGGAAUGAUUGGGCGUAAAGGGCUCGCAGGCGGUUUCUUAAGUCUGAUGUGAAAGCCCCCGGCUCAACCGGGGAGGGUCAUUGGAAACUGGGAAACUUGAGUGCAGAAGAGGAGAGUGGAAUUCCACGUGUAGCGGUGAAAUGCGUAGAGAUGUGGAGGAACACCAGUGGCGAAGGCGACUCUCUGGUCUGUAACUGACGCUGAGGAGCGAAAGCGUGGGGAGCAAACAGGAUUAGAUACCCGCGUAGUCCCUGUUUCUUAUAC